CAUUAUCCUAGCUUUAGUAUGGCUAAUCCCACUAUUCCUGUGAGUACUUUUCCUCCUGUCACGUCUACAAUCUCUGGGAUGAGUGCCUACUCCUGAACAGCUAAGACCUGUGUUUUGAGCUGCAGGAUGUUUAGUUGGGUGGUAAAAGUUGUUCCUCAACCUCCAGAGAAGCCUACAAAGCUAGAAGAGGAAGGCAAAGGCAAUACACCCCAGACAUCAGAACAAAAAGCAUCAGUUAAAGACCAAGAGGUGAAAAAAGCAGCCAAUCCUGAGAAGCCAAAUGAGGAUGGAGUCUCAGAAGAAAAAAGUACUCAGGGCAGUGUAUUGAACUGGAUCUCUCAGGGUUUGACCAGCGCCCUCCCCCAACCUGCAGCACCACCUAGCAAGGACAAAACAGACAGUGAUACCAAGCACCAGGAGGAAAACAUCAACAGG